rnacentral:rRNA from 1 species
AGUGAACGCUGGCGGUAGGCCUAACACAUGCAAGUCGAACGGCAGCACAGUAAGAGCUUGCUCUUACGGGUGGCGAGUGGCGGACGGGUGAGGAAUACAUCGGAAUCUACUUUUUCGUGGGGGAGAACGUAGGGAAACUUACGCUAAUACCGCAUACGACCUACGGGUGAAAGCAGGGGAUCUUCGGACCUUGCGCGAUUGAAUGAGCCGAUGUCGGAUUAGCUAGUUGGCGGGGUAAAGGCACAUCAAGGCGACGAUCCGUAGCUGGUCUGAGAGGAUGACCAGCCACACUGGAACUGAGACACGGUCCAGACUCCUACGGGAGGCAGCAGUGGGGAAUAUUGGACAAUGGGCGCAAGCCUGACCCAGCCAUACCGCGUGGGUGAAGAAGGCCUUCGGGUUGUAAAGCCCUUUUGUUGGGAAAGAAAAGCAGCAGGUUAAUACCCCGCUGUUCUGACGGUACCCAAAGAAUAAGCACCGGCUAACUUCGUG